rnacentral:rRNA from 1 species
UACGUAGGGUGCAAGCGUUAAUCGGAAUUACUGGGCGUAAAGCGUGCGCAGGCGGUUCUAUAAGACAGAUGUGAAAUCCCCGGGCUCAACCUGGGAACUGCAUUUGUGACUGUAGAGCUGGAGUACGGCAGAGGGGGAUGGAAUUCCGCGUGUAGCAGUGAAAUGCGUAGAUAUGCGGAGGAACACCGAUGGCGAAGGCAAUCCCCUGGGCCUGUACUGACGCUCAUGCACGAAAGCGUGGGGAGCAAGCAGG